CACUGAACAUUUAUCUAAAUUUUUCCAGAAAUUCCCUGUGAAGUUUGGAAUUGGGACUUGCCACAAUGAUAAUGGACCUGCUAUUCCAAUAGUGUAUGAUACUGGAAAUGCGUUAUCAACCCAAUAUCUCUAUGGUCCAAAUUCAAGAAGAAUAUUUGAGCCCGGAUUCAUCGCAUUCAGGGUCUUCAAUAACGAAAAGGCUGCUAUGGCUCUUUGUUCAGGCGUUAAACCUGUUGGCGGUUGUGACACUGAACAUUUUUGUAUUGGUGGAGGUGGACACUUUCCUGAAGCGGCUCCUAGACAGUGUGGGGACUUUGCGAGCUUCGACUGGAGUGGCUAUGGUACUAAUGAAGGAUGGAGUGCUUCCAAAGUAAUAACUGAAGCAGCUGUGCUUCUCUUUUAUCGCUGACAUGCUGAUCAGUCUAAAAUCUUCUCUUUGACUAAUGUCACACUGAUUAAUACUGGAAUGCUACAUGCACAAUUCUUUUCAUAAAUCUAUAUCAUCACAAUAUAUAACUUUUAUAUCAGAAUGCAUAUGUGCAAGGUGUUUGUCACAAAUAAAAAAUAUGGAAAAGGUUAGGAUAUACAUAAAAAAAGGCAAUGGCAGACUUUCAAAAUGCUCCUGAGAUUCUUCUUACUUUACUAUCUUUGUUACCUAUGCUAAACCGCUGUUAUUAACUGAUGCAUUCUUUUUGCCGGGAGGAUUAUCUGUGAUUGGUAUGAGGUCCUCCCGUGUGUCAUUAAAGCAUAUUCAAAGGCA